UUAAGAAGAAUCAGAUAAGAUUACAUCAUGAAGAAAGUCUGGACAUUAACCCCAGACCUGGACACCAAACAAAGAACAAGCCUCACAUGCAAGAGCGUGUGCAGGCUUGUUUGUUGAGCGUUGCAUAAAGGAGAUUUCAACAUUCGCGAAUAGUGGAACUAGAGCCUUACAAUCAGUAAUAAUCAAACCAAAAGGAGAAGGAUCCUUGUUGUCACACAUUAGUGCUUGGAAAACAACCAAAACACCCAUCUCGAUAAUAAUAUCAAACCACUGUUGAUCUUUCAGUUAACUGAGAGCCUCUCUAACCCCCAAAGCCUCAGCCUCCUUUACUGAAAUAGAACCAAGUGCGCAAUAGAAAAGCCACCAAUCAUUUUGCCAUGGUAAUCUCGAACUACACACCCAAGACCAAUUUGAUUCCUUAAAAGGAAAAACAGCAGCAUCGACAUUGGCUUUCACUUUGUCAACAGGAGGACAAGACUAAACAAUACCUCUUAAAACCGAAGGACAGGUGGCACUGAACAGAGUGUUACAGUUCCUAACUGAUUGCCAUUCAAAUAGAUUAUCCCCAAUAUUAUUGACCAGGAAUCGAGCACAGUUCCACUUAUUUCUCCAAACCACAUCGUUUCUCUUCCGCCAAACCCACCAGCAGACCAUGACCAAAAUACAAGAAGUCUCCAAGUUGUUACGAGCAAUAUAGCUUCCAAAGAAAGUGGCAAUAACUGUAGAGAGAGCCCUAGCUGCAUUCAAACCAACUAAUAACCAGUAAUUGCGGGGCAAGAGGAUAGUAAGAAAGAACAUGAGUGGUGCCCUCAAGGUGAGAAUGACAAACUAGGUAAAGAGCAUUAAUAAUAACCUGUCUCUGACGAAGCAAGUCCAUAGUUGGCGAACAGUAAGAUUAAAUUACAUACCCUGUAAGGAAUUGGAAGCUUCCAUAGACGAUUCCAUAAAGGAUGAGCAUGCCUAUGGAAAUCCCCACAAAGCAAACGAUAACAAC
rnacentral:lncRNA from 1 species